rnacentral:rRNA from 1 species
UACAGAGGUCCCAAGCGUUGUUCGGAUUCAUUGGGCGUAAAGGGUGCGUAGGUGGCGCGCUAAGUCAGGUGUGAAAUUUCGGAGCUUAACUCCGAAACUGCAUUUGAAACUGGCGUGCUUGAGGACUGGAGAGGAGACUGGAAUUUACGGUGUAGCAGUGAAAUGCGUAGAGAUCGUAAGGAAGACCAGUGGCGAAGGCGGGUCUCUGGACAGUUCCUGACACUGAGGCACGAAGGCCAGGGGAGCAAACGGG